rnacentral:sRNA from 1 species
UGUAUCGGAAGCCUGACGAGGAUGAGAACCUCCGGGGCAAGAGGUUCGACCCGAGCGAAGCGAGAGAACGUUGCGUCAGCAACGGCCCGCAGGGCGAGCCAUCCUCUAUCACCGGCAG